rnacentral:rRNA from 1 species
UACGUAGGGUGCGAGCGUUGUCCGGAGUUAUUGGGCGUAAAGCGCGCGCAGGCGGCUUCGCGCGCCCGACGUGAAAGCCCCGGGCUCAACCUGGGAAUGGCGAUGGAUACUGGCUCGCUAGAGUGCGGUAGAGGAGAGUGGAAUUCCCGGUGUAGCAGUGAAAUGCGUAGAGAUCGGGAGGAACAUCAGUGGCGAAGGCGACUACCUGGCCUGUUCUUGACGCUGAGGCGCGAAAGCUAGGGGAGCAAACGGG